UACGUAGGUGGCGAGCGUUGUCCGGAUUUACUGGGCGUAAAGAGCGCGCAGGCGGUCGUACAAGUCGCGUGUGAAAGCCCCUGGCUCAACUGGGGAGGGUCACGCGAUACUGUUCGACUCGAAGGCAGGAGAGGGAAGUGGAAUUCCCGGUGUAGUGGUGAAAUGCGUAGAGAUGUGGAGGAACACCGAUGGCGAAGGCAGCCCCCUGGGCUAACACUGACGCUCAUGCACGAAAGCGUGGGGAGCAAACAGG
rnacentral:rRNA from 1 species